rnacentral:lncRNA from 1 species
CUUGGAUCUCAUUUAUGUGAAACAUCAAGAAUAAGCAGGGCUGGGGAUUUAGCUCAGUGGUUCUGGCGCCUGCCUUGAAAGUGCAAGGUCCCGAGUUCAAUCCCUGGUACUUAAAAAAAAUUAAAAAAAAAAAGAAUAAGCAAAUAAUGUACCAACAGAAGGCAAGUUAAUGGUUGCCAGAGUAUAGCAGGGAGGGAGAAAUGAAGAAUGAUUGCUUAACAGGUAUGUGAUUUUCUUUUGAUGAAAAUAUUCUGCAACUAGACAAUGGCAUUGAAUGCACAAUGCCGUGAAUGUCCUAUGUGUCACUAAGGCUGAAGAAAAUCUAGGGUUCAUCCUAGAAAAGGAACCACUUCUGAACCAAGCCACCUUGGACAGGGAUACAUUCAAGGUCAGCAUGAUGAAUAGGCAGAGAAAGAGGUCAAACAGCCCUCUCAAGCCAGAAGAGUUGGUCAACGGCCUUGUUCAAAGAGAAUUUCUCCACUUUGGGGGUGCUGAAGGGAGGAGGGAAGAUUUGGAAUGCAACAGGAGGUCAUUACAACAGAACCAAAUCCAACAUCAACUGGUGCCCUUAUAAGAAAUUAGGACAAAAUACACAGAGAGGGAAAGCAAUGUGAGGACACAGGAAGACAUGCCUAUAAGCCAAAGAGAGAGGCCUUGGAAGAAACCAACCCUGCUGACAUCUUCGUCUCAGACUUUUGGCCUCCAGAACUGUGAGGAAAUAAAUCCUGUUGUGUAAGCCACUCAAUCUGUGUUGGCAGCCCUCGAAAACAAAUACAG